rnacentral:misc_RNA from 1 species
GAUGAAGAACGGAGCGAAAUGCGAUAAGUAGUGUGAAUUGCAGAAUUCAGUGAAUCAUCGAAUCUUUGAACGCACAUUGCGCCUUCUAGUAUUCUGGGAGGCAUGCCUGUUUGAGCGUCAUUAAACCUCUCUCAAGUAUGAUUACUUGGAUGUGAAGGAAGAGUACCUUAAACUUAAGGAGUGUUCUCCUUUGAAAUUGAUUAGCAGAUGGUAAUGUUAUUAAAUCCCUGAUGUUGUAAGAAAUAACAGUGGUUUUGUAGACUAUUAUCUAGCUUUAAAUUAUAAUUUUUAUUAUGGUUGACCUCAAAUCAGGUAAGGAUACCCGCUGAACUUAAGCAUAUCAAUAAGCGGAGGA